AUCCAUCUGACGAGUCCCAAAUAGGACGAAACACGCGUCCUGUGU
rfam:Schistosoma haematobium scaffold229_11, whole genome shotgun sequence.